GAUGAACGCUGGCGGCGUGCCUAAUACAUGCAAGUCGAGCGAACAGAUGAGAAGCUUGCUUCUCUGAUGUUAGCGGCGGACGGGUGAGUAACACGUGGGUAACCUACCUAUAAGACUGGGAUAACUCCGGGAAACCGGGGCUGAUACCGGAUAAUAUUUUGAACCGCAUGGUUCGAUAGUGAAAGACGGUUUCGGCUGUCACUUAUAGAUGGACCCGCGCCGUAUUAGCUAGUUGGUAAGGUAACGGCUUACCAAGGCGACGAUACGUAGCCGACCUGAGAGGGUGAUCGGCAAAACUGGAACUGAGACACGGUCCAGACUCCUACGGGAGGCAGCAGUAGGGAAUCUUCCGCAAUGGGCGAAAGCCUGACGGAGCAACGCCGCGUGAGUGAUGAAGGUCUUCGGAUCGUAAAACUCUGUUGUUAGGGAAGAACAAAUUUGUUAGUAACUGAACAAGUCUUGACGGUACCUAACCAGAAAGCCACGGCUAACUACGUGCCAGCCGCCGCAGUAA
rnacentral:rRNA from 1 species